AGUUCAACUACCUCGAGAACUACGUGAACUACUUUGUAUUGCAAAUACUUAACCUCACUUAUACAAUGUAAAAUCAGGAAUAUAACAUUACUGGAACUGGAAUUGAGCUAAUCCAGAGCACAAAAUGGCUUACAUUGUUUAGUGCACAAGAAAUUGACCCAGUUAGGUCUUGCUGGUUUGAUACUGUGAUUUCUGUCCAGACUCACUCAACAUGUUACCUGUGACAAUGGAUAUUUAGUAAGAUCUUCUAAAUCCAUCCGUGAAAAGCUCUAACAUGCAUUGUUCCUGAAAUUAGAGUUCACAAGUGAAAGGACUAGCCUUCGAUUCAUUCAUACUUGCUGCUGGUUUACGGCAUGGGUUGGAAGCUGUGUUGUACAUUUAAUGGGUCUCAGUUUGGGAUACCUUUUGCCAGAUGUUGCCUUUCUAAAAGGUUUUUUUAAUGCUUGGGACAAAUCCCAUGGAUAUGAAAAGGUCUUGCUGUAAAAACUAAUCCAAAGAAUACAGCCCUACAACUUGCUGUAGAUGGUAUUAAUGGUUAAAGUUUUAGUGGCGUGUUAGCCGAGCAUUGGACCCUAGGCUAGGAUAAUUUGUGUGCCCCCUCCCUCUCCUAUUAUAGUAUUGCAUUCUCAGAUUAAUUGUUAAUCUGAGAUUGUAUGGUAGGCAUUAUCACUACUCUAAUGAUUGAGGAACAUUAUGUAUUUCAAGGAAUAUGAAUCGUAUUGAUGUGGUUUUUUUUUGUGAAUAAAAUUGUUUACUGUUA